rnacentral:Y_RNA from 1 species
AGCUGGUCCAAAGGUAGUAGUUAUCUCAGUUGAUUGCUCACAGUCAGUUAUGGAUUGAACUCCUUGUUCUACUCUUUCCCCCUACUCACUACUGCACUUGACUGGUCUUAA